rnacentral:rRNA from 1 species
GUGAACGCUGGCGGUAGGCCUAACACAUGCAAGUCGAACGGCAGCACAGUAAGAGCUUGCUCUUACGGGUGGCGAGUGGCGGACGGGUGAGGAAUACAUCGGAAUCUACUUUUUCGUGGGGGAUAACGUAGGGAAACUUACGCUAAUACCGCAUACGACCUACGGGUGAAAGCAGGGGACCUUCGGACCUUGCGCGAUUGAAUGAGCCGAUGUCGGAUUAGCUAGUUGGCGGGGUAAAGGCCCACCAAGGCGACGAUCCGUAGCUGGUCUGAGAGGAUGAUCAGCCACACUGGAACUGAGACACGGUCCAGACUCCUACGGGAGGCAGCAGUGGGGAAUAUUGGACAAUGGGCGCAAGCCUGAUCCAGCCAUACCGCGUGGGUGAAGAAGGCCUUCGGGUUGUAAAGCCCUUUUGUUGGGAAAGAAAAGCAGCAGGUUAAUACCCCGCUGUUCUGACGGUACCCAAAGAAUAAGCACCGGCUAACUUCGU